GGAGCCGCCCGCCGCGCCCCCUUCGCCACGGGAGCCGCGGGCCGCCGGAGCCGUUCCUCCACGACCACCACAACCAUGGCAGGGAGCGCUGCUCCGACCUCCUCUCCUAUGACUUCAAGUCUGACGAUGCCCGCGACCAGGCGCCGUGCUCCCCUCCAUGGAUAGAAAGGCAGCUUUGGAGAGGGGUCGCAAAGAUCUCAAGUAUUGUGCUCAAAACGUCCAUCGGGUGCAUCCAUAUCGCCCCAGUUCAUUACCGACCACCACGCGAUUUACAUCCACUGCGAUCAUGGAUGACCACGUGAGACAUCGUCGCCGUCCUUCUCCCAGAUACAAUGGUCGGCUAAUACGGAUUCCCAGCCUCCCAGGUGACCUAACUGGGAAAUUUGACAAAUUUAAGCAAUUCAUGAAUCUGUUAAAAUUUGAGCUGUGAAUGGGUAGGCCUCUCGGUGAUGGCUUCUCAGGACAUCGAGAACUUCACUUUUUAGAAUUGAAGCUUCACUCAGGUGAAGUGGUUCCUUUAGGCAUUGAUAUAUGCGGCGUAAUAUAUGUACAUGAAGGAAAAUUGAAUUAAUAUUUCAAUCGGAGUAGAAGCCAUGAUCUGUGGACCCUAUAUAUUGUAGUCUGCUUCACUUUCACUUUCUAUUGGGAGAAUUUGCAAAACCGGACCAUGUCUCAACACUGACUGGAAGAAAGGUGUCUUUCUCUUGCAUGGUGGCAUUGCUCUGUUAUUUGCAUUGCUAAAGCUUGGUCAUGGAAGAUGUUAUACCCGAGAGAAAAGAUACAAUGACUCGACUAUACAGAUGAUUCUAUGAAUAUUCAGUACAUGCUUCUCCAAAUUUUGGUAAAGGUUGGUGGUACUGCUUAUCUGAAUUAACUUAUAUCUAACGGUCAUGGAAACAUCAAUACAGACAUUUAUGAACACUGUCAAGGUAAUCAUUGAGAAUUGUACCAACUGAUGCACAUUGUGAUUCCAGCUUCUGGAAAGAAAGGAACUACUCCCUCUGUCCCAUAAUAUAAGAGCGUUUUUGACACUAAUUUAGUGUUAAAAGCACUCAUAUAUUAUGAGAUAUAGGGAGUAUAUGCUACUUGCAUAACUUGCAGGUUAUUUUCGAGGAGAAUACCACUGACAAAGUUGGAGCCUCUGUCAAAAUAUUAACAUGUGGCAGGUCGCUACUAUAUAUAUCCAUAUAAAAGAGGAUUCGUGUUACAUUAUAGCCGGCGAACGAGGCCACACGUGUGCUCCUUGCUGCCAGCUCCGCCCUCCUCCACCCUAUCUCCUCGGAACGGGCAGCUCCAUCCAUCGGUACCUAGAAGCACAGAGGUUCGCCUCUACCACGAUGGCCACAUCACUGCAACCGAAACUCCACCAUUGUCCAGCCACCGACCCAGUGCAGCCCGAUUCAAUCUGGACCAUAACCUCUCUGGGUGUUAGCAACAAUGUAUCUUCAGAAAUAAGCUUUGUUCAUGUAUAUUAUCUCUUUCAAUUUGAAAGAUAAGACAAGAAUAGUUUCAUUAUGGUUGUUCUGAAGGAAUGACAAGGCCAUUGAUGUUGUCAAGGUUAGUACAGGUACAUGCUUUAUCCUAUUGAUUGAUACUUUUCAACACAUACAACUUAGUCUUUGUGCUGGAAAAAGUUGAGCAUGAGUAUGUAGUUUCAGAAUGUGAUGGUCCUCUGUCUAAAAAAUUCUGAUAGGACAAAUACUGUGUCAUUUCAAUAUCAGAUUUUGGAGUUAAUAGGAAGCAUGUUUGGGGGAGAAUUAAAUCAUAAUGCAUCCUAUAGCUACCUAGAUGAAUUAUCUCCAUUAGUUCGGCUCUGUUGACUGCCUCUGUUAGAUCAUAAUGCAUGAUACAAGCCUACUGUAGUUUGUCUUUGUUGAUCACACAUUCGACAAUGUUGUAAUGAAAAUUUGCAAAAAUAUAGUUAUCUCUCAUGGAUUGAUAUGUAAGCAUAAGAUUUUAUUCAUUAAAAUCUUUCAUUGUCUUUUUUAAUUGUUCUCUCAUGUCUCUAUCUGGUUAGGGUCGCCAGAUUCGGUAUAAUCUUUCUCUCUGCUUUUACUUCGCGGAUUCUGCAGAUGUAUAUUAGGAUGUAUAUUAGAAUGAACUGAGCAAUAUCAGAUCUUCACAAUCAAGACAGCUGGAUUGUGGAUUGCCUAGGGCAGUGGUAAUUCACAGAAUGUAUGAUGUUCAAUGGGAAGCAUAUGAGACUACCAAUGUUCAGUAGAGAUUUCCAUUGAUCUUUAAUAUUAUUUACACCUUCUUCAUUUGUCCAUGUGAUUUGAUUUUUUUCCACCCAAACAAACAUUAUUU